CCGUAACACAGGUGCUGCAUGGCUGUCGUCAGCUCGUGUCGUGAGAUGUGGGUUAAGUCCCGCAACGAGCGCAACCCUUGUCAUUAGUUGCUACAUUCAGUUGGGCACUCUAAUGAGACUGCCGGUGACAAACCGGAGGAAGUGGGGAUGACGUCAAGUCCUCAUGGCCCUUAUAGGUGGGGCUACACACGUCAUACAAUGGAUGGUACAAAGGGUCGCCAACCCGCGAGGGGGAGCCAAUCCCAUAAAGCCAUUCGUAGUCCGGAUCGCAGUCUGCAACUCGACUGCGUGAAGUCGGAAUCGCUAGUAAUCGUGGAUCAGAAUGUCACGGUGAAUACGUUCCCGGGUCUU
rnacentral:rRNA from 1 species